AUUGAACGCUGGCGGCAUGCUUUACACAUGCAAGUCGAACGGCAGCGCGGGCUUCGGCCUGGCGGCGAGUGGCGAACGGGUGAGUAAUGCAUCGGAACGUGCCCAGUAGUGGGGGAUAGCCCGGCGAAAGCCGGAUUAAUACCGCAUACGACCUGAGGGUGAAAGCGGGGGACCGAAAGGCCUCGCGCUAUUGGAGCGGCCGAUGUCGGAUUAGCUAGUUGGUGGGGUAAAGGCUUACCAAGGCGACGAUCCGUAGCUGGUCUGAGAGGACGACCAGCCACACUGGGACUGAGACACGGCCCAGACUCCUACGGGAGGCAGCAGUGGGGAAUUUUGGACAAUGGGGUCAACCCUGAUCCAGCCAUGCCGCGUGCGGGAAGAAGGCCUUCGGGUUGUAAACCGCUUUUGUUCGGGAAGAAAUCCUCUGGGCUAAUACCCCGGGGGGAUGACGGUACCGGAAGAAUAAGCACCGGCUAACUACGUG
rnacentral:rRNA from 1 species